UCCGUCUUUCGCUCGAAUACGACGGCGCCGGAGCUACUCCGACCAAAAAUUACAGCGCCGCCGUGAUGAACACACCACCAACGACCUCUUCUUCCUAAUUUCGAGUUUAGCCUAACGUGAUUCCUCAUUAAUCUCUCGUUCUCACUCUCUAAUCCUCAAAACGAAACGAACUAAAACCUAAGUGAUAUCAGCCGGUUUACACAACAAUUUCGAUCCAAUUAGAAGCUACCACCAUAGGGGUUUUGAUCAACAGAACGAGCUCUAUCACAUGGUAGAUGAGAAAGAAUGCGAGAAUUGAAAGAUUGUAGCGUUCACCUGGGGAGUAUGAAGCUUGAAGAUAAUUGUUGAGGAAAACCGGAGAUGAACGUGAGUUGAAGAUUGGCGGAUGAGAUCGAAGGUUCUUGAUUCGGUGCAGCUCCGAUUUCUGAGAAUUGGUUGAUUGAAUUUGAUGAAGAUGAUUGAGGUGUGAAGCACAGAGAUAGCGAAGAUGAUGAAGGAUGAUUGGGGAAGGUUGUUGUUCAUGGAGUCUUCUGAUUAUCUCUUUUCUUGUUCUUCAAAUCUGUUUCUGAAUUUCUGUGUGAUUAAAGGCGUUAUGCAGUGUUGUUGAGAUGAUGAAAGUUCAGAGGUGAGAAUGGUGGAGAGAAGGUAAAGAUGGUGAUGAAGAGAACGGAAGAACUCAGAAGUGGUGGUGGUGAUGAAGUGAAGAAGAAUUGUGGAGAUUGAAGAGAUUGGAGAAGAGUGAAGGAUUGGUGAAGUUGAUGAAAAUGGUGGAGAGCUGAAAGAAUGGAUCAAGGCUCUGAUUUAUAGAGAUUCUUCAGGCACAGCUUCCCCCCUGCACGAUGUCUAUUGUAGGCUUCAGUUUGAAUGAUGCAAAUGUGGAGGCUUUGAAGAAUGCUUGAAGAAUGAAGGAUGCAAGGUUGACUAACUUUGGUUCAAAAACAGUUGGCUACUAGUUGAUAGUUUAGAAUAGGGAUUUGCAUUUGUCAUGGUUUUCUUUGUAAGGUGCAAUGUGAAGGAUAGGAGUUAUUGUAAUGAAUGGAUUUCGUGAUUUUGUAUGAAGUUUGGAAGAUUGCUCUUGGACAUGUAAUAAGUAAUAGUGAAUGAGAUUGGUUCCUUAAUUCUUGAAUUUGAACUUUGAAAGAUUGUAAAGAACCAAUACGAAAAGCUUUGUAUUCAGCAUAACUCUUUUUUUAUUCUGUAUUGAAUUUACAAUGUAGCAUGUA